rnacentral:rRNA from 1 species
AUGCCCACGCAGCAGCUCACGACAUUCCAGCUGCUCCCGCCCGCUCACGCGCACGGCGACUGGCGACAGUACCAGUACCACCACCACCACCACCACCAGGACCAGCAGCAGCAGCUCGCCUGCGGCGGCGGAGGAGGAGGCCCGUGGGACCCCGCGUCGGUGCUCGACCGCCGGGCCAGCCCCGCCGCGCAUCCCACGCUGUCUUCCCCCUCGCCCCUGCCCGCCGGCGUGGCGGCCCUUGCCAAGAACGUCUCCGCGGCCCCGCCGGCGCAGGCAUGGCCACUCCCGCCGGGCCCCGGGGCGAACGACGACGACGCCAAGGACGACUGGGUCCACCACCUGCCGCCCCUCGACAUGGCCGGCUGGGGCGACCCGCACGCCGCCGCGAUGCAGGAGCCGCACCCGCCGCCCUCCUCGCAGGACAGCACCUUCCUCCGCUGGAUCAUCGGCGGCGGGGACGACGAGGACGACGACUCCGGGGGUGGAGCGCGCGGGGGUGGAGAUGGAGGCGGGCGCGGAGGGAGAGGGCGAGGGCGGCGAGGCGGGCGCGGAGCGACACCGUGGGGGGGUUUCUGCAAAAAAAUGCCACGUCAGCAGCUGACAGGCGGGCCCUGCCGGUCAGAUACACUGUCAAUACGCGUUUAUACGCGAUUUAGACCUUUUUGUAACGUCUAG